CCGAGGGCUGGCCCUGCCACAGGGCUCGGUCCCGCCGGGCUGCUGCUGCUGCUGGCGAUUGUGUAGCGGGGCCUCUGACCAGGGGCAGCUCUUCCCUGCGGCUUCGGUCUCACAGAAUCACAAAUGGGUCGGGUUGGAAGGGACCGCGGUGUGUCAGCAGGUCCGACCUCCCUGCUGAAGCGGGGUCAUUGUAGAGCACAAGGUACAGGAUUGCAUCCAGGUGCUUCUGGAAUAUCUCCAAUGAGGGAGACUCCAGUCUCUCUGGCCAACCUGUUUCAGUGUGUGAUCACCACACAGUAAAGAAGGUCUUCCUCAUGUUCGGGUGGAACUUCCUGUGCAUCAGAUUCUGCCUGUUGUCCCUUGUUCUAUUGUUUGUUACCACCAAAAAUCCCUGGCUUCAUCCUCUGACACCCUCCCUCCCAGUACUGAUGGACAUAAAUGAGGUCCCGUCUCAAUCAUCUCUUCUUGAGGCUGAACAGGCCCAAGCCUUUCCUCAUAAGAGAGACGCUCCAGUCCCCCAGUUGUCCUUGUUUCCCUGGGGACUGGGGGAGAGUGGCCAGCUGUGACCCACUGGCCUUAUCCCUGGCCUCACCCUCCUGUCGCCUCAGUAGCCAGUGCCUGCUGUCAGCAAGGCAGGCACCAUUAUUGUGAAGGUUCUUUAGAUCUAUUCCAGCCUGUCCUAUGCUUGCAUCAAGAUUCACCAGCUGACAGGAGAACAAACAGGUUACAUCCCCAUUCCUACAUUUUGCACAGCCUGAGAAAGAAGAAGCUGAUGAAUAGGAGUUCCAUGAAGUUGGAGGAUGGCUCAUGGAACCCAGGUCCGACCAGCCAUUUGGUGGAACAGAACCUUGGGUGAGGGGAUAUGUGGGUCUGUAUUACCCCAUCACCCUUUCCCCCAAAAAGGUAAAAUUUCACUGCAAACCAAAAAGGAUCAUUUCCUCCUGGUGAUACAGGGCUUCAAGAGAACACUUUUCUUCCACUUUUAGGCUUGGUUCUGAAGAAAUACAGGCGGCUGGGUGAAGAUAUUAGUUGGACUGACUUCUCUACUGAGAUUUAUAAACCUCUCUUAUGAAGCAUUUAUAUGAAACACUUCAUAAUCUACCAGUUCCUCCAUUCACUAGAAUCAGAGUUAGCCAAAAGGCGGCCAAAGACAUUCCACGCAUCUGCCACCAACAGAUCAGAGUGUUCUUAUUUGUAUUCCACAAUCCUAAAUAAAAGAUACUUGAAGCUGCUACAGAGCUAAGCAACGGUAUCUGAAAAAGAUGAAAUGUGGAAUUCCAGAAGAAAUUACCUACAGAAGGAGCUUAGAUCCAGAGCUUAUGCAAGAGGCCAGACUUUGAGGUGAGAUCUUGAGGUAAGAAAAUUAAUCAAAGCUUGCAAAAAUUACCUGUGGUAUUUCAAUUAUAUUAAUAUUCUGAAAAUGCAAGGACCAUGUCAGCUUUAAUAACACUAAUAUUUAGGUGAUUUUGCAUUAAGCACCAAGAAUUCUAUACUUUAUAAGAAGGUAGCACUGUGAAAUUGAACCAGCCUUCUUCCCAGUUAAUGUAUAGAAGGAUCACUUAGAAUAUUUUGUGGAAACAGAAAUUCUAAUACUAUUUUAAUGAUCACUGUUAUAACAGUCAACAGGGAGCUGGAAAUCAAUUACCUCAGAAACAACUGAAGGACCCUCCCACUGAUGUACCAUUUAGGUAAUCGUAGCUCUAUCACACAGUUCUUCAGCAACAAUCAUGUAUCAAAUAUAUUUACUAUAAAAUACCCAAAACGUAGCCCCAUACUAACCACUGUGAAGAAAAUGAAUUUUUCCCCAACCAAACCCAGCACAUUUCUUUAUGAGAUUUCAAGACAGAGUAAAGACCUUGCAUUUUGUCUUUAUAAAGUACAUAAUCUGUUAAUAUUUUAAUGUAAUUACUAUUUUGUAUUUUGUAGACUUUUUACAUUAAUUCGAUUUAUCAUAGCUGACCUCUUAACACCAACACUAGAAGCUUAUGCAAGCAUCCUGGAGCACAUGGCACAGGACUGUGUCCAAAUGUACUGGAAUAUCUCCAAUGAUGGUGAUUCCACAACCUCUCUGGGCAACCUGAUCGAGUGCCCAGUCACUCACACAGUAAAGAAGUUCUUCCUCCUGUUCAGGCAGAACUUCCUGUGCUUCAGUUUCUGUCUAUUUCCUCUUGUCCUGUUGCUUGGUGCUACCCAAAGCAGAUGUAAAUCCAUGCUUUAUUAACUGAAAUAGGGUAUCAGUCUUCCAAUAACUUCAGUACACAAGCUUACCUCUGACUCUCAAGGGUUGGUGUCUGUGUCAGGGAGAUAUCAGGGAGAUACUACAGGGUCCAGGGUGUCUUUUGACUGUAUGAUCCUGCUCUCCUAUGCAUGUCCUUACUACUGGAAAAGGACAGCAUGAAGAUCAUUUAUGAAGAUGACAGCACUAGAAAUUGAAAUAUCAAGUGUUUUCUAAACAGAGAGGAAGAUAUAGUCUCUCUUCCAAAGAGUCUAAAUAGUGAGAGAAAGGCAGAGACUGACAAAAAGGUAUGUCACAUAUGGACAAGGCAUCAGAUCACAUUAUUAUUAACUGGCAUAUGUUGCAGUUUUUCCCAUCCUUUUCCUUCUGCUUUCCAUUCUUCUUGUCAUCAUAUUCUGCUUAUAUUACAGGGGUUCACACUGAACCUCAUGUAUGUGUGCAGUUAGUCACCUAAGAAUAAAUUAAAAAAUAAAUUAAUGUACUCAGCUUUUCUUAAACCUUAUUAAAAGUGUAAUUCCUAGGCAAAUUUUAAUAGAAAGAGGGCCAGAUCUGCCCAGAAAAAAAGAUUUAACUUGUGGAAUACAAUGAGAGGAAACAAACGUCUUAUGUGGAGAAGCAGAUAAUGAAGUAGGUAAAACUGGAAGGAGGAUGAUCUAACAAGGUAAUAAGAGUAAAUCAACUAAAAAGAAAGAGUUUAAUAGCAUCUUGGAGUUGAUCGUCACCCAUGAUUCAGGAGAGAGCAUGAAGCCUGUGGAAAAAAUAAAGUCAUUAUCUUUCAAGAGGCCAAAAUCAGAAGUAGUCUGACUAAAAUAAGAGUUUAGGAACAUAAAUUCUCUAGCUGUACUUUAAAUGGCCUGAUGGCAGUGUUUGUGAGGGGGUUGUAACAACUGGAGUAAGAGGUUAUGUGGGCCAGUAACAUGGCAGGAAGAAGCAAACCCUUGGGAGGAGUGGAUAAAGAAUGUGAAAAGGGUAGUCUUUGUGUGCAGCAUCAAAAUUCUGUUCUACAGUGAGACUCCUUGAUUAUAAGUGACACUGGGUAAUUCUGAUUUUUGUAUGCACUGGUUUUACGAAGCAUCUCAAAAGUAGAACUUAAUUUUUCCUAUUACUUCAGUGGAUCUUCACCACAGCAAUGUAAGACCUUUUUCUUCAUUAAAAGAAAUGUGCUUAGAAGAUAAUUGCAAAACAAUAAGCAAAAUGAAACACUGUGAAUGAAUAACAGGACUGCAGGAUAGUUUUCUAAAUCUGAUUUUUCUCAAAUUGGCUGAAUUGCCAAUUGCUGGUAAUCCUCAUGUAAUGAAAAUAUUGAGAUAGGGUUUGGUGGAAUAGGGUAGUUUCGCUAAGCUUGUUCAGCAAAUUAUUUUAAUAACUAUAUUUCUGAAGCCAUAAUAAUCCAUGAAUGCCUGCAACAAUUAUUUUCCUCAUUAUUGUAAUAUUUUUUGUUGUUACAGAUGGCUAUACUGAAUAUAUAACUUCUAGAAUCACAAUGGUCAUUCUCAUAAAUUCAGAGACUUUUUUUCCACUUAACAGUCUUAAGCUGAGUUGUUGUUUUUCUGUGUUUGAAACCACAGCUGACACUGGAGAUAUAAUUUCAGAGUAAAAGAGUAAUACAGGAAUACAAAUAGGCAUUGCUGAAGUCCUCUGAGCAAAACACCUGGGGACAAGAAGGCAGUGCCUCUUAAACAUCAAGACUCAAAGUUAUUAUCCUGUUCUCUUGCUUCCCUUUCUUUUGAUCCUUUGUGGCCACUCAUUACUACUUUUGUGGCAGAGUACCAAAGUAGACAUGACACAUUGUACACUGGGGGACACUUAGGACUUCUGCAGGACAACAGAGCAACCCAGUGGUCACCAAGACAAAGAAUUCCUCAUUCUACAACGUUUGUUUCAUUGCCAUGUGUUGGUGUCACAGCAUCCUUCACACUCACUCAACCACAGAACCCAGCAGUCAAUCAGUGCAACGGAAAAGACCCAUCUAACAAAAACAUCUAUGGUUGGGUUUGCAUCAUUUUAAGACAUUUCAAAAAAAUGCCAGUGUUUGCUGUAAAUAAGAAUACUGAUCAGAUAAAUUGCCUUGUUUGAUGUAAUGGCACACGCUUCCUUCCACGUGAAGUGUUUUGUUGGGUUUAUGUGGCUGGGUUUUGGUAGUGGGAGGUUACAAGGAUGGCCUCUGUGACAAGAUGCCAGCAGCUUUCCCUCUAAAAAGGGAAACAAGUUAUUGUACAGAUGUAAUUGCAGUCAGAGAAGAGUGAGAAUAUGUGUGAGGAACAACUCUGGAGACAGUAGGGUCAGUAGAGAAGGAGGGGGGGAGGACAUGCUACAGGGGCUGGAGCUGAGAUUCCCCUGCAGGCUGUGGUGCAGCCCAUGGUGAAACAGGCUGUCCCCCUGCAACACAUGGAGGUCCAUGGGGAUGCAAAGAUCCACCUGCAGCCCAUGAAGGGACCCACACUAGAACAGGUGCCCCAGACAGGGCUGUGAGCCCUUGGAAAAGCCCUGCUGGAGCGGGCUCCAGGCAGGGACUUGCAAAUCUGUGGAGAGAGUAUGCCAUAAUGGAACAGGUUUCUGGUGGGAGUUGUGACCCUGCAAGGGACCCAGGCUGCAGCAGGCUAUACCUGGAGGAUUGCACCCUGUGGAAGAGUGACCCAUGUUGCAGCAGUUCACGGAAAACUGUUGCCCAUGGGAUGAACUCAAUGUUGGGCAAGUUCAUGGAGAGCUGUUUCCCAUGGGAGAGACCCCAUGCUGGAGCAGGGGCAGAAACAACCUGGGAUGAACUGAUCAUAACCUCCAUUCCUUGUCUCCUUGUGCUGCUGGGGGAGAGGAGGUAGAGCUGGGAAGAGGGGAGGGCUGGGGGAAGGUAUUUUUAGGAUUCAUUUUACUUCUCAUUCUCCUUCUCUGGG